CUCUCUCUCUGCAGCUCCACGACGCCUCUCUCUGCAACUCCACGAUGCCGAACGGACUCUCUGCUGCAACUCCAGCAGCUACCCACCGCGGCUCUCUCUCUCUCUCUCUCUCUCUCUCUCUCUCUCUCUCUCCCCUUGUGCCAAGCAAGAGCUCUCUCUCAAUCGGGUGGCGAAGAAACCUCCAUACGUGGCACAAUCACUCUCGAUUUCCCUCUCUUAGAAAUCUCAAUCCGAUUCCACAUUGCAAGUGGUCAAAGAGCUCAGAGAAUGCCUGCCAGUCAGUGAUUGUAAGCAGGGGAAGUGUGAGUAGAAAUGGUUUUUUGAACUGUGUGGCGUCCACAUUGCUGCUCACUCAAUGAAUGGUCCAGCCACCUUACAGUCUGGUCCAUGUAGGCAGUUCCCAUAUGGUGGAUGUGAUGUAUGAGUUGGUUCCACCGCAUUCAACUGUAACAUCAUCUCAGCCUUAUCCCAAUUUAUUGGGUCGGCCAUGCUCUACCACCAUACUAUGCUAUAAUGCUUCCUGGCAAUGUAUGGAGCAUGGUUGCAGAAAGCCUUUGGGGCUGAGCAAUUGUUUGCCGAAAGUAAUUUCAAAAGGUGGGUUCUAUGGUGAAGGUUGUGGCUGAUGAAGAGGUGAAGUUGGGCUCUUUGAUUGUAAAAGCCAUUGAUUGUAGUCUAAGAUCCGUUUUACUUGAGAAUGG